ensembl:lncRNA
UAGAGCCAUUAGAACAGAACACUGAGAACCAGAGGUUUGAGUCAUGAGCAGAAACCUUUAUAUCCCAAAUCUGGACUAAAGACAAAGGUAACUUAAAAUUGGCUGUCCCCAGCAAAAUCAAUUCCCACAUGGUGAUGCAGCUAAGAAUCAUCAGUAGCCAUUACUCCUAGAAGCUCAUGGAAUUUGAAAGACCAAACAGAAGCUUUGGCAAGCCAUGGGAUAACCCAGAAGAAACCUGUGUGAAAGUUCUUAUAUGGAGAGUGAGUAGAGAGAUCUGGAAAUAUGUGUUUCUAAACAAUGGCAAGAAAUCUAGCAACUGGCAAUUAUACAAGAUUUUCUUUUUGUAAACAACACUGGAAUUUAAAUUAUUUUCAGGUAGCAAUGCCAGGAAUUUCUAAGGAAAUAUAAGGGUGAAAUGAGUUGAAAGAAAGAAGAGAUACUGGAGACCUGUUAAAUUAGGUAAAACAAAGAAAAAUUAAGGAAAUAUUUAGAAGAAGUAGUAAGACUAUCAAAUUUAAAUCUGUAGUUCCUUCCCCUCUGUGUAAAGAUGUCUUUAAUAUGGUAAUGGAUGUCAGAGGGUGGGGAGAGAGGCUGCAAUCACAUCAAUAGGAGAUAAGAGGACUCCAUCUUUUCUGCAUAUAAAGCUUUAGACCUGCAUUUUAUUUCAAGUUUGGUGAACAGCAAUCAGUUCCCAUUUGUGAUUAGACUCUGUCUUUUCACCGAAGAGAGGGUUGAGACAGAGUUUUAAAGGUUAUUCUACACUAGACAAAAGGAGUACAUGAAAAAUAAAAGGCUUUUCAAAUGAUCUAAAGUGCCCUUG